rnacentral:rRNA from 1 species
UACAGAGGUCUCAAGCGUUGUUCGGAUUCAUUGGGCGUAAAGGGUGCGUAGGUGGCGCUGUAAGUCAGGUGUGAAAUUUCGGAGCUCAACUCCGAAACUGCAUUUGAUACUGCGGUGCUUGAGGACUGGAGAGGAGACUGGAAUUCACGGUGUAGCAGUGAAAUGCGUAGAUAUCGUGAGGAAGACCAGUGGCGAAGGCGGGUCUCUGGACAGUUCCUGACACUGAGGCACGAAGGCCAGGGGAGCAAACAGG